rnacentral:rRNA from 1 species
AAUGAACGCUGGCGGCAUGCCUUACACAUGCAAGUCGAACGGCAGCGGGGGAGAAGCUUGCUUUUCCUGCCGGCGAGUGGCGAACGGGUGAGUAAUACAUCGGAACGUGCCCUGUAGUGGGGGAUAACUAGUCGAAAGAUUAGCUAAUACCGCAUACGACCUGAGGGUGAAAGUGGGGGACCGCAAGGCCUCAUGCUAUAGGAGCGGCCGAUGUCUGAUUAGCUAGUUGGUGGGGUAAAGGCCUACCAAGGCGACGAUCAGUAGCUGGUCUGAGAGGACGAUCAGCCACACUGGGACUGAGACACGGCCCAGACUCCUACGGGAGGCAGCAGUGGGGAAUUUUGGACAAUGGGCGAAAGCCUGAUCCAGCAAUGCCGCGUGUGUGAAGAAGGCCUUCGGGUUGUAAAGCACUUUUGUCCGGAAAGAAAUGGCUCUGGUUAAUACCUGGGGUCGAUGACGGUACCGGAGGAAUAAGGACCGGCUAACUACGUGCCAGCCGCCGCAGUAA